UACAGAGGUUGCAAGCGUUGUUCGGAAUUACUGGGCGUAAAGCGUGCGUAGUCGGUAUUGUGAGUCGCGGGUGAAAUCCCAGGGCUUAACCCUGGAACUGCCUGCGAGACCUCAGUACUAGAGUGUGAGAGGGGAUAGUGGAAUACCAAGUGUAGCGGUGAAAUGCGUAGAGAUUUGGUGGAACACCGGUGGCGAAGGCGGCCAUCUGGCUCACAACUGACGAUCAGGCACGAAAGCGUGGGGAGCAAACAGG
rnacentral:rRNA from 1 species